rnacentral:lncRNA from 1 species
GAACCCCCCUCUUCUGCAGUGGGGAAUGACAGAGAACACAGUGACCUGCACUUUCUGUAGCUGGUGAUCAUGCUCACUUCCAGGAUGAAGACACCAUCCAGCUGCCUGCGCCCAGGGUCUGGCUGAGGAUGGUGAACUGGAGGGCACGACCAGGAGAGCAGACAGCAGCAGCCGAUGGAAAGAUGCAACCACCGCAUCACCACGUGGGAUGUUUCCAGUGAGGACUAAGCAACUAUUAUUUUCCUCCUGGGAAGUUCCAGUUGGCCAGAGAACAAAGACC